CUGUUUAGGUAAACUGUCUGGGACCUGGUAGAAUCCAUUGAAGGGUUUAGGUAAACUGGGACCUGGUAGAAUCCAUUGAAGGGUUUAGGUAAACUGUCUGGGACCUGGUAGAAUCCAUUGAAGGGUUUAGGUAAACUGUCUGGGACCUGGUAGAAUCCAUUGAAGGGUUUAGGUAAACUGUCUGGGACCUGGUAGAAUCCAUUGAAGGGUUUAGGUAAACUGUCUGGGACCUGGUAGAAUCCAUUGAAGGGUUUAGGUAAACUGUCUGGGACCUGGUAGAAUCCAUUGAAGGGUUUAGGUAAACUGUCUGGGACCUGGUAGAAUCCAUUGAAGGGUUUAGGUAAACUGGGACCUGGUAGAAUCCAUUGAAGGGUUUAGGUAAACUGUCUGGGACCUGGUAGAAUCCAUUGAAGGGUUUAGGUAAACUGUCUGGGACCUGGUAGAAUCCAUUGAAGGGUUUAGGUAAACUGGGACCUGGUAGAAUCCAUUGAAGGGUUUAGGUAAACUGUCUGGGACCUGGUAGAAUCCAUUGAAGGGUUUAGGUAAACUGGGACCUGGUAGAAUCCAUUGAAGGGUUUAGGUAAACUGGGACCUGGUAGAAUCCAUUGAAGGGUUUAGGUAAACUGUCUGGGACCUGGUAGAAUCCAUUGAAGGGUUUAGGUAAACUGUCUGGGACCUGGUAGAAUCCAUUGAAGGGUUUAGGUAAACUGUCUGGGACCUGGUAGAAUCCAUUGAAGGGUUUAGGUAAACUGGGACCUGGUAGAAUCCAUUGAAGGGUUUAGGUAAACUGGGACCUGGUAGAAUCCAUUGAAGGGUUUAGGUAAACUGUCUGGGACCUGGUAGAAUCCAUUGAAGGGUUUAGGUAAACUGUCUGGGACCUGGUAGAAUCCAUUGAAGGGUUUAGGUAAACUGUCUGGGACCUGGUAGAAUCCAUUGAAGGGUUUAGGUAAACUGGGACCUGGUAGAAUCCAUUGAAGGGUUUAGGUAAACUGUCUGGGACCUGGUAGAAUCCAUUGAAGGGUUUAGGUAAACUGUCUGGGACCUGGUAGAAUCCAUUGAAGGGUUUAGGUAAACUGUCUGGGACCUGGUAGAAUCCAUUGAAGGGUUUAGGUAAACUGUCUGGGACCUGGUAGAAUCCAUUGAAGGGUUUAGGUAAACUGGGACCUGGUAGAAUCCAUUGAAGGGUUUAGGUAAACUGUCUGGGACCUGGUAGAAUCCAUUGAAGGGUUUAGGUAAACUGUCUGGGA